GAUGAACGCUGGCGGCGUGCUUAACACAUGCAAGUCGAACGGAAAGGCCUCUGCUUGCAGGGGUACUCGAGUGGCGAACGGGUGAGUAACACGUGGGUGAUCUGCCCUGCACUUCGGGAUAAGCCUGGGAAACUGGGUCUAAUACCGGAUAGGACAAUGGUUUGGAUGCUGUUGUGGAAAGUUUUUCGGUGUGGGAUGAGCUCGCGGCCUAUCAGCUUGUUGGUGGGGUAAUGGCCUACCAAGGCGUCGACGGGUAGCUGGCCUGAGAGGGUGUACGGCCACAUUGGGACUGAGAUACGGCCCAGACUCCUACGGGAGGCAGCAGUGGGGAAUAUUGCACAAUGGGCGCAAGCCUGAUGCAGCGACGCCGCGUGGGGGAUGACGGCCUUCGGGUUGUAAACUCCUUUCGCUAGGGACGAAGCGUUUUUGUGACGGUACCUGGAGAAGAAGCACCGGCUAACUACGUG
rnacentral:rRNA from 1 species